UACGUAGGGUGCAAGCGUUAAUCGGAAUUACUGGGCGUAAAGCGUGCGCAGGCGGUUUUGUAAGUCUGAUGUGAAAUCCCCGGGCUCAACCUAGGAAUUGCAUUGGAGACUGCAAGGCUAGAAUCUGGCAGAGGGGGGUAGAAUUCCACGUGUAGCAGUGAAAUGCGUAGAUAUGUGGAGGAACACCGAUGGCGAAGGCAGCCCCCUGGGUCAAGAUUGACGCUCAUGCACGAAAGCGUGGGGAGCAAACAGG
rnacentral:rRNA from 1 species